UAUUCUCAACCUUCAUAACUUUUUGUUAUCGAAGGCUUGGAUUUGGAGGUUCGUGCUGGCUUCUCGUUAAGUCGGCUCCUCUUAAAUGCAUUAGCGUGAGUGUAACGGAUCGCUUCGGUGUGAUAAUUAUCUGCGCCGUGGUCGUGAAGUAACAUAAGCUCGCGCUUCUAACCGUCCUUUAGUUGGACAACUUACCCCUGAC
rnacentral:misc_RNA from 1 species